rnacentral:rRNA from 1 species
CCUACGGGGGGCAGCAGUCGAGAAUCAUUCACAAUGGGGGAAACCCUGAUGGUGCGACGCCGCGUGGGGGAAUGAAGGUCUUCGGAUUGUAAACCCCUGUCAUGUGGGAGCAAAUUAAAACGAUAGUACCACAAGAGGAAGAGACGGCUAACUCUGUGCCAGCAGCCGCGGUAAUACGGGGGAUGCGAGCGUUAUCCGGAUUUAUUGGGUUUAAAGGGUGCGUAGGCGGGAUGCCAAGUCAGUGGUAAAAAUGCGGUGCUCAACGGCGUCGAGCCGUUGAAACUGGCGUUCUUGAGUGGGCGAGAGGUAUGCGGAAUUCGUGGUGUAGCGGUGAAAUGCAUAGAUAUCACGAAGAACUCCGAGUGCGAAGGCAGCAUACCGGCGCCCUACUGACGCUGAGGCACGAAAGCGUGGGUAUCGAACAGGAUUAGAUACCCUGGUAGUC